UAUUAUUAUUAUUUGCUGCCUGCGUGCCUGCUAAGUGUCCAGCACUGUUCUGAUCACUUUACACAUAAUCACCUCCUUUAUUCCUCACCCAAACCUGGGGUCCCAGGUGACAAAGGUUCUCGCAGGUGUGGCAGGACUGGGCAGUAGAUGGGGGAGGAAUCCAGGUGUUGCCAGUGAACCUCGCGGGUGUACAGCUGUUCACACACAGAUGUUGGGGCCACCAUAUAUUUUGAGCGUUGACUGCUAAGGACUUAGGGAACUGAACCUGCGGGUGUCAGAGUGACAGCUGCAUGGGGAGCUAAGGGUUAGAUACUGGAGUAAGGAAUACGCACCGAGGGCCGGAUGCUGGUCUGCAUUGCCCAUCAUCCGGGGGAGGCUGGAGUAUGAGGGUGGGUAUGGCCAGGGGAGUGUUGGGGCUUCAGAAGAAUUGGGGGUGGGAUAUCCCCACGUUGGAGGUGGGCCUCUUCGGGUACUGGGUGUGCUGGCUGUGUUCCGACUGAAGAUGAGUUCAUAGAUAUUGGAAAAGGGACGUGCUGCCCAUGGGGGUGUUUUGGCAUUUGGGUGUCAGCAUCUUAGGUGAUGGCCAGUGUUUGGGAUAUGAUGGCAAUCGAACAUUGGAAUGUCCACACAGGACGUGACUAGGGAUGGGGUAGGAGCUGGUUUGGGUGUGAGUAUGUUGCCUAUUGUCUAAAGGGAAGUUGGGGUGUCAACAUUAUUGGAAGUAGGGGGUCUGAAUGUCUGACGCGUUGGGGUUCUUCAGUAUUGGCCAGUCUGGGUAAUGAGGUAUCGGUGCUGGCUGAUGGGAAAUUGGGAUUUUAGAUGCUAGAGUAUUAUCCUACGCCCCAAAUGUUGAUAUGGUAUUAGAUGUUGGAUAAUGGGGCGCUGUCUUGUUCAAGUAUUGCAGGGUCAAUGUGCUGGGUGUGGGCUUGUGGGAGAUUGAGAUAGCAGAUGCUGGAGCACAGGGUGUCCGCGGUGUAUUGGGUGUGGCCUCCCGUCUGGUGAUCCUAUAACUCCAAAUGUUACCAAGGCUGGAAAAGCGGUGGCAGUUGAUACACACAGGCACGCACCGGUGAAGCAGCCACCUCCCCACCUCCCUGGGGAGAGGAGGUGCUCCCAGGAUGCAGCCCGGGUAGAGUCUCUGGUGUCGGCCCCUGAAGCUUGGAGAGGCCAGAGGAACUGCCCUUGGUGUCACCCUGGUUGACCAGCAGGACUUUUUGGGCCGCAAGGUCGCGGAGGCGCUUUAGACCUGAGAUCCAACUUCUCUGACCCAGCUGAGCAAGGGCCAGCUCGCCGUGCAUUCAAUAGACAUUUAUUGAGCGCUGACUGUGUGCAGGUACUGUGCUGAGAUCUGGGAACACAGCAUGAACAGAACAGGUGAAAAUCUCUGCCCUUGCAGAUGUGAUGGAAAAUAAACAAGAAUAACAUGGAAAUGACACGUCGCAUGUGAG
rnacentral:lncRNA from 1 species